CCGAAAGGAGAAAAGAAGAGCUCAGAUGGUCAAGUGGGUCAGAUCCAAAUUAGGCAGUGAUGAACCAGAAGAAUGCAACCCAGCUUGAGCCCACCUGCCAGAAUCACUAAUAAGUGUGUGUCUGUGUGUCCAAUCAACUGUGAAAAGACAGAUAGGAAAUUCGGCAUCAAAACAAGAUUUUCUGUGAUGGUCUUGUUUUAGGAAGUGAAGUUCCAUACACCCAUUAUUGCAAUUCACAGCAUGGCCCAAUAUAUUCCAAAUAAUAGCUGCAGCUCUGUUUUUCUGUCUUAAGAGACAAGCCCAUCCUCUUCCGAAUAACAGGCACUGGACAAUGGGCUGCAUCCAUUUAAACCUUGGAAAAAAAGAAAGCUAAGAAUUUUUCUGAUCUAUUUAAUUAUUUAUAACUCUUUUGGAGAUAUUAUGAACCUGACAUGCUAACUCUUGUGAUCACAGAAGCAACUUUUAGCUACUGGACAAUGAAGUUGCUCUUUUGUUUUGCUUUGCGCAUGAUACCAGCUCUAUGGAAACACAUGUUCCUUCCCUUCCAAGCGCUAUGGUCUGAUCUUGAUGGCACUGUAAGAGGCUCGUGAGGAGGGUGAGAGAGACUUUCACAUUAAUGGCCAGGCAAAUAUCCGCACCAGAAUCCACAGCUAUGAUUUUGUUUCCAUCAGAGGAAGAUGCCCUCCUGUCAUGGUUUUUGGAAUUUGCUUAUCUGCUUGCCCAUGAUCUACCAAGCUAUACCUUCCAUGAUCAGUCAUGCUUGUAUAUAAAGUUGUUGUUCUGUUCACUCAGGGGUCACACCAUAUCAGAUUUCACAGUAAAGGGGCCACCAUAAAGCAAGAAGAGUGCAGUUCUUGCUUGAUAUAACACCGUGAUUUCCGAGGAAUUAACUUAAUUCUAGAGCAUGGACAGCAGCAACGGCACCUCAAGCAAUUCCUUCUCAGGAAAAAACCCUUCUGGGCUGGAAGCACUGCAGAAGCAGCAUGAGGAGAAAACCAGAAAGGUUGAAGAGCUGAAGAGUCAAAUCGUUUCAGUGAAGCUUGAUCUGGAGAAGAAAAGGAAGGAUGCUUUAGAGGAUAAAAAAGAAGUUUUCAAGAGCUUGAGUGACAAAUACAACAGCCUGAGAGAGGAAUACAAUACUCUGGCUGAAAGGUCCAGUGAAUAGUCCACAGAGCUGUUUCAAUAUUGCAUGCUUUUAUCAUCCCGUUUUAUGCAGCUACCUGGAAACCUAUGCAUUAGAUUGUAAGAUUUGCUUCCUCUUCUGCAUAACUUUAACUGUUUCUAUAAAAUUCUCCACAUUACUGGGAGACAUUUAGAGCUA